AUCACUGAGAUUCUACCGUCGUUGUCACCCCGAUUGACCUCAAAAUGGCAGCAGUGAGGGCUCGUGUUUUGUGGCUGAUGCACUUCAGUUCACUCGCAGCGCCGUCUCUGAGCUGUUUUCAGUGCUUUGUGAGUCAGGAGGACAGCCUGCGCCUGUGCUGGGGUCAUAUUGUAGCCGAAUAUAAUAUUCGAAAUAUAGACUCGUGCUUCAAAACACUGGACAGAAUAUUUAACGACGAGCGAAGGGUCAUCACUGCUGGAGAAGUUGGGCGAGGCUAUGAUGUAAAGCUCAAGGAGAUCAUGCUUGCAGAAAUUUUGCCCAUUGUUGAGGAAUUUGACCAGAAGACCAACGAAGAUAGUGUUUACGAAGACAGGUUACAGACCGCAGCAGGCAAUUUUGUAGAUGCCGCCACAAGGCUGCCUAGAGUAAAAGAAGUGACAGUCGGGGAAAACAACCGGACGCUGAUGAGCUGUGACGUGUUGUUCAAGUUGCCGGGUGACAUAGAGAUUGUCUGGAGGUAUGCAAAGGUGAGGGAAAAAACUGCAGCCUUGUCCAUCUUCAUUAAAAACUAA
ensembl:lncRNA